UACGAAGGGUGCAAGCGUUGCUCGGAAUUAUUGGGCGUAAAGGGUAGGUAGGUGGUAAUAAAAGUCUGGGGUGAAAUCCCUGAGCUCAACUCAGGACGUGCCUUGGAAACUUUAUUACUAGAGUGCUGGAGAGGUCCGCAGAAUUCCCGGUGUAGCGGUGAAAUGCGUAGAGAUCGGGAGGAAUACCGAUGGCGAAGGCAGGUCUCUGGGCCAUAACUGACGCUGAGAAGCGAAAGCAUGGGGAGCGAACAGG
rnacentral:rRNA from 1 species